AACGAACGCUGGCGGCAGGCCUAACACAUGCAAGUCGAACGCCCUAGCAAUAGGGAGUGGCAGACGGGUGAGUAACACGUGGGAACCUUCCCUAUAGUACGGAAUAUACCAGGGAAACUUGGAGCAAUACCGUAUACGCCCGAGAGGGGAAAGAUUUAUCGCUAUAGGAUGGGCCCGCGUAGGAUUAGCUAGUUGGUGAGGUAAUGGCUCACCAAGGCGACGAUCCUUAGCUGGUGUAGAGAACGACCAGCCACACUGGGACUGAGACACGGCCCAGACUCCUACGGGAGGCAGCAGUGGGGAAUAUUGGACAAUGGGCGCAAGCCUGAUCCAGCCAUGCCGCGUGAGUGAUGAAGGCCGUUGGGUUGUAAAGCUCUUUUGUCCGGGGACGAUAAUGACGGUACCCGGAGAAUAAGUCCCGGCCUAACUUCGUGCCAGCAGCCGCAGUAAG
rnacentral:rRNA from 1 species